UACAGAGGUCUCAAGCGUUGUUCGGAUUCAUUGGGCGUAAAGGGUGCGCAGGUGGCGAGGCAAGUCGGAUGUGAAAUCCCGGGGCUCAACCCCCGGAACUGCAUUCGAUACUGCCUUGCUAGAGUCCGGAAGAGGCGAGUGGAAUUUCCGGUGUAGCGGUGAAAUGCGUAGAUAUCGGAAGGAACACCAGUGGCGAAAAGCGGCUUCCUGGUCCAGCACCGACGUUCAGGCACGAAAGCGUGGGGAGCAAACAGG
rnacentral:rRNA from 1 species